rnacentral:rRNA from 1 species
CAGUCGUACCUUCGGGUAAUCAGCCUUUUGGGUGUGAUUUUGUGGAGCGUGAAGAGUUAAACGCCUUCAUGCUUGCAUAUUCGUGCACUUUGGGUGUACUUGCCCGUAUGGUUGGUUAACAUCAAUUUUGGUGGUCAUAAAAUGACUGGAGGAAUGUAGCUUCGAUCUUGUAUUGAAGUGUUAUAGCCUUCGGUAGAUGUGAUGAUCAAGAUUGAGGAUUGCAACGGAUACCCUUCGGGGCUACCUGUCUGGUCUCUGAUCGUUGCUCUGGUGCCGAAAGCUUGCUUACGGUUAUCAAAGUCGAUGGUCAAUAGGUUAGAACGGGUUAAA